CAUGUACAACCCCAAAUCAGAAAAAGUUGGGACAGUAUGGAAAGCACAAAGAAAAAAAGAAAGUAGUGAUUUCUAAAUGUACUUUGACUUGUAUUUCAUUGCAGACAAUACAACAGCACAUAAUUUAAUGUGUUCCUCAUGAUUUUUAUUGUUUUUUUUUCAAAUAAACAAAAUUCCUAUUUUGGUUCUUGCAACACAUUUCAAAAAAAGUUGGAACAGUAAAGCAUUUACCACUUUGUAAUGUUGCCAUUCCUAUUCACAACACUUAAAAAGAUGUUUAGGGACUGAAGACACCAAGUGAUGAAGUGUUUCAGGUGUAAUUUUGUCCCAUUCUUGCUGCAAACAAGUCUUAAGGUGGGCAACAGUACGGGGUCUUCGUUGUCGCAUUUUGCACUUCAAAAUGCGCCAAACAUUCUCUAUUGGAGACAGGUCGGGACUGCAGGCAGGCCAGUCAAGUACCCGUAUCCUCUUCCUCCGCAGCCAGGACUUUGUAAUGUGUGCAGAAUGUGGUUUUGCAUUAUCUUGUUGAAAUAUGCAUGGACGUCCCUGGAAAAGAUGUCUUCUUGAAGUCAGCAUAUUGUGCUCCAAAAUCUCUAUGUACUUUUCAGCAUUAAUGGUGCCAUCACAGAAUUGCAAGUUACCUUUGCCAAGGGCACUGACACAACCCCAUACCAUGACAGACCCUGGCUUUUGGACUUGUUGCUGGUAACAGUCUGGAUGAUCCUUUUCUUCUUUGGUCCAGAGCACACGGUGUCCAUUUCUCCCAAAAAAUACCUGAAAUACUGAUUCAUCUGACCACAGUACACGUUUCCACUGUGUGAUGGUCCAUCCCAGAUGCCUCCGAGCCCAGAGAAGUCGACGGCGCUUCUGGACACUUAACAUAGGGCUUCCUUUUGGCACAGUACAGUUUUAACUGGCAUUUGUGGAUGUAACUACGUAUUGUGGGAUCGGAGAUCACGGUUGUUCAGCUUAGGCUUGCGCCCUUGUCCUUUACGCACUGAAAUUCCUCCACAUUCCUUGAAUCUUUUAAUUAUGUUAUGCACUGUUGAAGGUGAAAUAAGCAAA